CAGUCGCCACGGUAAUACGGAGGGUGCGAGCGUUAAUCGGAAUAACUGGGCGUAAAGGGCACGCAGGCGGUGACUUAAGUGAGGUGUGAAAGCCCCGGGCUUAACCUGGGAAUUGCAUUUCAUACUGGGUCGCUAGAGUACUUUAGGGAGGGGUAGAAUUCCACGUGUAGCGGUGAAAUGCGUAGAGAUGUGGAGGAAUACCGAAGGCGAAGGCAGCCCCUUGGGAAUGUACUGACGCUCAUGUGCGAAAGCGUGGGGAGCAAACAGGAUUAGAUACCCGUGUAGUCCCUGUCUCUUAUAC
rnacentral:rRNA from 1 species